AAAAUACCUUCCAAAACAAGCAACCUUAUCCUAGGUUUACUUAAGCCACAACUCAUGCAAUAUGCUAACCAUUUAACCAAUUCAAAUGCAUCAAGAACUUACCAAAAUAUACCAUAUAUCAUCCAUCCUAAGUGCCUAACCAAUAUGCCAUAAUUGGCACCUUAAUUCAACCAUUUGUCACAACCAAAUAUUCAUCACCAUUCAUACCACAAUUCACCUACC
rnacentral:lncRNA from 1 species